rnacentral:lncRNA from 1 species
UGGUCUACCAGAGAGGGCACAUGUGCCUCAAUUGUCUUAUAGCAUAGCGACUCAUUAUCCUUCCACCGCUGGUGGCGGGCGGUACUCGCUGCUCUGUGAAGCCAGCCUCACGCAAUGUCCGCCACUUUAGGUGUUGGGAUGCAAAGACUUUCGCCAAGGCAUCCGAAACCCACUACACAACUUGGAAUGGGUGGUCCACUGUUUGUAGCACUAGACCCAGGCACAUGCACCACAAUUGACAUCCACACUACCUUAUUGCCCCGCUCGGGUUACAAGCAAUCGCUACUUGCUCAGCGAGUGAGGGGGUUCAAGACUACCUAUUUAAGGUGGUGUUGUACUCUAUGAGCCGGCGGUGUGGUAUUUACCAACUACAAAUAGUGUCAUGCAUGUGACUUGCUAGUUGACAAUGUCUGUUGUCAAGCUAGGUGUGGGCUAUGGAUGAAGCACAUUAGGAUAUAGUAGGCCUAUUUUGUUUUUUGUUGUUUUUGGGCCACUAUGGACUUUAUGUUGAUGUUGUGAAAUUUUUUUCUUGUGUUUCCUCUUCCUACGAUGUGGAAAGUGGGUGCGUCAGAGAAGAAAGAAAGAGUGGCUAGCAUUGAUUUUACGUCAUACCAUUGAGAACACUAAUCAGAAGCAGAAGCAACAAUAUUUCAUACAUAUACAACACUUGUAAUCCAUAUAAACAACAUUCCUUUAAAAUAUAAUAUAAACCACAUGAUUUAUAUCCUGGGUCGGCUAUCUCCACAAAGGGCAAGAAAACGCUCCAAGUUUGUAGUAUAGCACUAAAAGUGUCGAUUCUCACGAUUUCUUCCCGACAUAUACAAACUAGACAGUAAUCACAUAAAAUAAAGAAAUAUGUGUUAACACGAACUUAUAGCAUGUAUUUCAACAUAUAGAUUUUUGAUUAUUAUGGUAGAUUAUAUAAAAUAGGGGUUCCCGAAGAAAUACAUAAAAACAAGAGCAUUAAAAUUUCCUUUUCAGAUCUGGCUAUCUGGUAAAAGGAGUUGGAGUAACUGAGUUUCCAAAUUUGUGACGUAGCUCUAUAGAAGGAAUAUAAAUACGUUGGAAAAAUUCUAUAAGGAAAGGUUUAAUACAAGUAGGGCUAAGAAAAACUCAAUGAGGCUUUGGUCGCAUGGUCACAAAACUUGAGACAAGAAACACGAAGACACCAAGGUAAUUAGUAUGAGAGUUUUCCAAAUUUGGUGUCUUGAUGUAGAAAAAAUAAAUAUAUGACAAAUUUGUUUUUUCGCAAGGCAUGGAUAAAUAAGUGGGGGUGAGCAAUAAAUUUCAUCCUAGAUUUAGAAGGAAUAAAUAUAUCACUAAAUACAUUUUUUCACAAUGCCAAAUUAAUCAGGUGGGAGCGAGAAACAAUUGUAGCGAGGCUAGGUUGUACUAGCCCAAAACUACAUACAACAGAGGAAAAAUGAAGAAAAUGAUGGUCUACCAAAUAUGGCGCAUGAGCCUUAAGGUGCACCUAGAGGGAAGUAGAAGAAAUAAAUAUAUAAUAGCAUAUGUUUUUCGCAAUGCAUGGUAAAGUGUAGAUGUGCUCUAACUGGGCUUAGAUUGCAGCGACACAUUAUGCAUCUACAAGGCUUGGUUGCACAUGGAAAAAGAUACAAAAAGAAAUGUAGACGCAGGACCGGGAGAAAAACAUUCAAUGAGACGUGAUUGCACGGACAUAGAACUAGAUAUAAGACAAGAGUUAAAGAAAAAUAAAGGAACUAAAUUUUCUUCUGCACACUAAGCAUGAAUGGAGUUGUAGUAUCUGAGAUCAAAAUUUAAUUUAUUCCAAGAUGCAGAACAAAAAUUUGAUACUCGUAAUGGUUACAUAGGAGCAAAAGUAGAUAAGAAAAAUAGCAAAAAGAUAGUGGUCUACCAGAGAGGGCACAUGUGCCUCAAUUGGCCUAUAGCAUAGCGACUCAUUAUCCUUCCACCGCUGGUGGCGGGCGGUACUCGCUGCUCUGUGAAGCCAGCCUCACACAAUGUCCGCCACUUUAGGUGUUGGGAUGCAAAGGCUUUCGCCAAGGCAUCCGAAACCCACUACACAACUUGGAAUGGGUGGUCCACUGUUUGUAGCACUAGACCCAGGCACAUGCACCACAAUUGACAUCCACACUACCUUAUUGCCCCGCUCGGGUUACAAGCAAUCGCUACUUGCUCAGCGAGUGAGGGGGUUCAAGACUACCUAUUUAAGGUGGUGUUGUACUCUAUGAGCCGGCGGUGUGGUAUUUACCAACUACAAAUAGUGUCAUGCAUGUGACUUGCUAGUUGACAAUGUCUGUUGUCAAGCUAGGUGUGGGCUAUGGAUGAAGCACAUUAGGAUAUAGUAGGCCUAUUUUGUUUUUUGUUGUUUUUGGGCCACUAUGGACUUUAUGUUGAUGUUGUGAAAUUUUUUUCUUGUGUUUCCUCUUCCUACGAUGUGGAAAGUGGGUGCGUCAGAGAAGAAAGAAAGAGUGGCUAGCAUUGAUUUUACGUCAUACCAUUGAGAACACUAAUCAGAAGCAGAAGCAACAAUAUUUCAUACAUAUACAACACUUGUAAUCCAUAUAAACAACAUUCCUUUAAAAUAUAAUAUAAACCACAUGAUUUAUAUCCUGGGUCGGCUAUCUCCACAAAGGGCAAGAAAACGCUCCAAGUUUGUAGUAUAGCACUAAAAGUGUCGAUUCUCACGAUUUCUUCCCGACAUAUACAAACUAGACAGUAAUCACAUAAAAUAAAGAAAUAUGUGUUAACACAAACUUAUAGCAUGUAUUUCAACAUAUAGAUUGUUGAUUAUUAUGGUAGAUUAUAUAAAAUAGGGGUUCCCGAAGAAAUACAUAAAAACAAGAGCAUUAAAAUUUCCUUUUCAGAUCUGGCUAUCUGGUAAAAGGAGUUGGAGUAACUGAGUUUCCAAAUUUGUGACGUAGCUCUAUAGAAGGAAUAUAAAUACGUUGGAAAAAUUCUAUAAGGAAAGGUUUAAUACAAGUAGGGCUAAGAAAAACUCAAUGAGGCUUUGGUCGCAUGGUCACAAAACUUGAGACAAGAAACACGAAGACACCAAGGUAAUUAGUAUGAGAGUUUUCCAAAUUUGGUGUCUUGAUGUAGAAAAAAUAAAUAUAUGACAAAUUUGUUUUUUCGCAAGGCAUGGAUAAAUAGGUGGGGGUGAGCAAUAAAUUUCAUCCUAGAUUUAGAAGGAAUAAAUAUAUCACUAAAUAUGUUUUUUCACAAUGCCAAGUUAAUCAGGUGGGAGCGAGAAACAAUUCUAGCGAGGCUAGGUUGUACUAGCCCAAAACUACAUACAACAGAGGAAAAAUGAAGAAAAUGAUGGUCUACCAAAUAUGGCGCAUGAGCCUUAAGGUGCACCUAGAGGGAAGUAGAAGAAAUAAAUAUAUAAUAGCAUAUAUUUUUCGCAAUGCAUGGUAAAGUGUAGAUGUGCUCUAACUGGGCUUAGAUUGCAGCGACACAUUAUGCAUCUACAAGGCUUGGUUGCACAUGGAAAAAGAUACAGAAAGAAAUGUAGACGCAGGACCGGGAGAAAAACAUUCAAUGAGACGUGAUUGCACAGACAUAGAACUAGAUAUAAGACAAGAGUUAAAGAAAAAUAAAGGAACUAAAUUUUCUUCUGCACACUAAGCAUGAAUGGAGUUGUAGUAUCUGAGAUCAAAAUUUAAUUUAUUCCAAGAUGCAGAACAAAAAUGUGAUACUCGUAAUGGUUACAUAGGAACAAAAGUAGUUAAGAAAAAUAGCAAAAAGAUAGUGGUCUACCAGAGAGGGCACAUGUGCCUCAAUUGGCCUAUAGCAUAGCGACUCAUUAUCCUUCCACCGCUGGUGGCGGGCGGUACUCGCUGCUCUGUGAAGCCAGCCUCACGCAAUGUCCGCCACUUUAGGUGUUGGGAUGCAAAGGCUUUCGCCAAGGCAUCCGAAACCCACUACACAACUUGGAAUGGGUGGUCCACAGUUUGUAGCACUAGACCCAGGCACAUGCACCACAAUUGACAUCCACACUACCUUAUUGCCCCCGCUCGGGUUACAAGCAAUCGCUACUUGCUCAGCGAGUGAGGGGGGGUCAAGACUACCUAUUUAAGGUGGUGUUGUACUCUAUGAGCAGGCGGUCUGGUAUUUACCAACUACAAAUAGUGUCAUGCAUGUGACUUGCUAGUUGACAAUGUCUGUUGUCGAGUUAGAUGUGGGCUAUGGAUGAAGCACAUUAGGAUAUAGUAGGCCUAUUUUGUUUUUUGUUGUUUUUGGGCCACUAUGGACUUUCUGUUGAUGUUGUGAAAUUUUUUCUUGUGUUUCCUCUUCCUACGAUGUGGAAAGUGGGUGCGUCAGAGAAGAAAGAAAGAGUGGCUAGCAUUGAUUUUACGUCAUACCAUUGAGAACACUAAUUAGAAGCAGAAGCAACAAUAUUUCAUACAUAUACAACACUUGUAAUCCAUAUAAACAACUUUCCUUUAAAAUAUAAUAUAAACCACAUGAUUUAUAUCCUGGGUCGGCUAUCUCUACAAAGGGCGAGAAAACGCUCCAAGUUUGUAGUAUAGAACUAAAAGUGUCGAUUCUCAUGAUUUUUCCGACAUAUACAAACUAGACAGUAAUCACAUAAAAUAAAGAAAUAUGUGUUAACACGAACUUAUAGCAUGUAUUUCAACAUACAUAUUGUUGAUUAUUAUGGUAGAUUAUAUAAAAUAGGGGUUCCCGAAGAAAUACAUAAAAACAAGAGCAUUAAAAUUUCCUUUUUAGAUCUGGCUAUCUGGUAAAAGGAGUUGGAGUAACUGAGUUUCCAAAUUUGUGACGUAGCUCUAUAGAAGGAAUAUAAAUACGUUGCAAAAAUUCUACAAGGAAAGGUUAAUACAAGUAGGGCUAAGAAAAACUCAAUUAGGCUUUGGUCGCAUGGUCACAAAACUUGAGACAAGAAACACGAAGACACCAAGGUAAUUAGUAUGAGAGUUUUCGAAAUUUGGUGUCUUGAUGUAGAAAAAAUAAAUAUAUGACAAACUUGUUUUUUCUCAAGGCAUGGAUUGAGAGCACCUAGAGGGGGGGGUGAAUAGGUGAUCCUGUGAAACUUGAAAACUUAAGCCACAAAACUUGGUUAAUCGUUAGCACAAUAAUUGCCAAGUGGCUAAAUAGGAAUCCUCAACAAAAUACAAUAACCAACAAAGAUCAAUCACAGAGAUGACACGGUGGUUAUCCCAUGGUUCGGCCAAGACCAACGCUUGCCUACUCCAUGUUGUGGCGUCCCAACGGACGAGGGUUGCAAUCAACCCCUCUCAAGCGGUCCAAAGACCCACUUGAAUACCACGGUGUUUUGCUUUGCUUAUCUUUAUCCCACUUGCGAGGAAUCUCCACAAAUUGGAGUCUCUCGCCCUUACACUUAAAGUUCACAAAGAAGCACGGAGUAAGGGAGGGAAGCAACACACACAAAUCCACAGCAAAAUGCGCACACACACGGCCAAGAAUCGAGCUCAAAAGACUAUCUCAAAGUUCUCACUAGAACGGAGCUCGAAUCACUGAGAAUGACAAACGAAUGCGCAAAGACUGAGUGUGGAUGAUCAAGAAUGCUCUAAGGUUGCUUGGUUUUUCUCCUCCAUGCGCCUAGGGGUCCCUUUUAUAGCCCCAAGGCGGCUAGGAGCCGUUGAGAACAAAUCUGGAAGGCCAUCCUUGCCUUCUGUCGUCGGGCGCACCGGACAGUCCGGUGCACACCGGACACUGUCCGGUGCCCGAUUUCCUUCCUUAAAUGGCGAAGCCGACCGUUGCAGAUGUGGGAGCCGUUGGCGCACCGGACAUGUCCGGUGCACACCGGACAGUCCGGUGCCCCCUUCCGACCGUUGGCUCGGCCACGUGUCGCGCGCGGAUUCCGUGGCCGACCGUUGGCCCGGCCGACCGUUGGCUCACCGGACAGUCCGGUGCACACCGGACAGUCCGGUGAAUUUUAGGCGUACGUCGCCGGUGAAUUCCCGAGAGCGGCCAGUUCGCUCGAGCCAGCCUGGCGCACCGGACACAGUCCGGUGCACCACCGGACAGUCCGGUGCCCCAGACCGAAACAGCCUCUUGGCUGUACACAGCCAACUCUUCUCUUUCCUUCUUCUUUUUGUUUCUGAUACUUAGACAAGUAUAUUAGUACACAAAACCAAUGUACUAAGACUUAGAAACAUACCUUUGCUCUUGAUUUGCACUUUGUCCAUUCAUGGGCAUAGAUUUACAUUUAAUUACUUGUGUUGGCACUCAAUCACCAAAAUACUUAGAAAUGGCCCAAGGGCACAUUUCCCUUUCAAUCUCCCCCUUUUUGGUGAUUUAUGCCAACACAACAUAAAGCAACUAGAACAAGUGCAAUAUUACUUCAAAUAAAAACUCAAAUUCAUUUUGAUUCAAUUUGGCAUAUAUGGAUCAUCCUUUGCCACCACUUGGUUUGUUUUUGCAAAUCAAACUCAAAAUCCUAUCUCUAAGUCAAAUCCACUUGUAGAGACAUAAAGAGAGGUUUUCCAUAGAAGAUUGAUUCAAGAUUCCAAAAACUCCCCCUUUUUCCCAUAAUCAACACUUCACCCCACAAGAGGCCAACUUUUGAUAAAAGAGACAAUGCAAGAGUAUUGACAAACCAAAAGCUCUAUCCUACUGUUUUCAAAGUUUCUCAAGUGGUAGCUGAUCCAUUUAUUGCUUUGGCCUUUAUUUUCUCCCCCUUUGGCGUCAAGCACCAAAACGGGAUCAAUCUUGGCCCUUUAACCCCAUUGCCUCACCAAAAUCUUCAAUUAAGAGCAAAUAGGCAAUAAGAGUUAAAAGAUGAACUUGGAAAAGUUACUCUUUUCAUCGGAGUGCAGUGGAAGUCUUGCAUGGUCCAAGUCCACCUUUUCCCUUUUAAUUCUCCUUCGAGACUAAAACAAGCAAACUCAAGCAUAUGGUUAGUCUCAAAGGGUCAAGUUGUAACACAUCUCCCCCUAAAACUGUGCAUCACUUUGCAACGGACUUGUGAGGUCCAGGGAGUGUUUGUACAACUUGAGCACCAUACUAAACAACAAAAUGCAAAAAGGAUCAUGAUCAAAAGCAUAAAUACAUGUAUGCUACAAUUCAAUCCAAGUUCCGCGAAUCUACGACAUUUAGCUCACUACGCAGCCUGCAAAAGGUCUUCUCAUCUAGAGGCUUGGUAAAGAUAUCGGCUAGCUGGUUCUCGGUGCUAACAUGAAACACUUCGAUAUCUCCCUUUUGCUGGUGAUCUCUCAAAAAGUGAUGCCGGAUGUCAAUGUGCUUUGUGCGGCUGUGUUCAACAGGAUUUUCCGCCAUGCGGAUAGCACUCUCAUUGUCACAUAGGAGUGGGACUUUGCUCAGAUUGUAGCCAAAGUCCCUGAGGGUUUGCCUCAUCCAAAGUAGUUGCGCGCAACACUGUCCUGCGGCAACAUACUCGGCCUCAGCGGUGGAUAGGGCAACGGAGGUUUGUUUCUUAGAGUUCCACGACACCAGGGACCUUCCUAAGAAUUGGCACGUCCCUGAUGUACUCUUCCUAUCGACCUUACAUCCAGCAUAGUCGGAAUCUGAGUUUCCAACCAAGUCAAAGGUAGACCCCUUUGGAUACCAGAGCCCGAAGCAAGGCGUAGCAACCAAAUAUCUAAGAAUUCGCUUCACCGCCACUAAGUGACACUCCUUAGGAUUGGAUUGAAAUCUAGCACACAUGCAUACGCUAAGCAUAAUAUCCGGUCUACUAGCACAUAAAUAAAGUAAAGACCCUAUCAUUGACCGGUAUGCUUUUUGAUCAACGGACUUACCUCCUUUGUUGAGGUCGGUGUGUCCGUCGGUCCCCAUCGGAGUCUUUGCGGGCUUGGCGUCCUUCAUCCCAAACCGCUUCAGCAGGUCUUGCGUGUACUUUGUUUGGGAGAUGAAGGUGCCGUCCUUGAGUUGCUUCACUUGAAACCCAAGGAAGUAGUUCAACUCGCCCAUCAUCGACAUCUCGAAUUUCUGCAUCAUAACCCUGCUAAACUCUUCACAAGACUUUUGGUUAGUAGAACCAAAUAUUAUGUCAUCGACAUAAAUUUGGCACACAAACAAAUCACCAUCACAUGUCUUAGUAAAAAGAGUUGGAUCGGCUUUCCCAACCUUGAAGGCAUUUGCAAUUAAAAAGUCUUUAAGGCAUUCAUACCAUGCUCUUGGGGCUUGCUUAAGUCCAUAGAGCGCCUUAGAGAGCUUACACACGUGGUCGGGGUACCGUUCAUCCUCGAAGCCAGGGGGUUGCUCUACGUACACCUCCUCCUUGAUUGGCCCGUUGAGGAAAGCGCUCUUCACAUCCAUUUGGAACAACCUGAAAGAAUGGUGAGCGACAUAUGCUAGCAAGAUACGAAUUGAUUCUAGCCUAGCCACAGGAGCAAACGUCUCCUCAAAGUCCAAACCUGCGACUUGGGCAUAACCUUUUGCCACAAGUCGAGCCUUGUUCCUCGUCACCACCCCGUGCUCGUCCUGUUUGUUGCGGAAUACCCACUUGGUUCCCACAACGUUUUGCUUGGGACGAGGCACCAGUGUCCAAACUUCAUUUCGCUUGAAGUUGUUGAGUUCCUCCUGCAUGGCUAACACCCAGUCCGGAUCUAGCAAGGCCUCUUCUACCCUGAAAGGCUCAAUAGAAGAGACAAAGGAGUAAUGCUCACAAAAAUUAACUAAUCGAGAUCGAGUAGUUACUCCCUUGCUAAUAUCACCCAGAAUUUGGUCGACGGGAUGAUCCCUUUGAAUCAUCGCUCGAACUUGGGUUGGAGGUGCCGGUUGUGCUUCUUCCUCCAUCACAUGAUCAUCUUGUGCUCCCCAUUGAUCACACUCCUCUUGAUGAACCUGUUCAUCGUUUUGAGUUGGGGGAUGCAUCAUUGUUGAGGAAGAAGGUUGAUCUUGCUCCAAUUGUUCCUGUGGUCGCACAUCACCAAUCGCCAUGGUGCGCAUAGCGGCCGUUGGAACGUCUUCUUCAUCUAAAUCAUCAAGAUCAACAACUUGCUCUCUUGGAGAGCCAUUAGUCUCAUCAAAUACAACGUCGCUAGAGACUUCAACCAAACCCGAUGAUUUGUUGAAGACUCUAUACGCCUUUGUAUUUGACUCAUAACCUAACAAAAACCCUUCUACAGCUUUGGGAGCAAACUUAGAAUUUCUACCCUUCUUUACUAGAAUGUAGCACUUGCUCCCAAAUACACGAAAGUAAGAUACAUUGGGUUUGUUACCGGUUAGUAGCUCAUACGAAGUCUUCUUGAGGAGGCGAUGAAGGUAGACCCUGUUGAUGGCGUGGCAAGCCAUGUUCACGGCUUCCGACUAGAAACACUCGGGGGUCUUGAAUUCUCCAAGCAUCGUCCUCGCCAUAUCGAUUAGUGUCCUGUUCUUCCUCUCUACCACACCAUUUUGCUGUGGUGUGUAGGGAGCGGAGAACUCGUGCUUGAUCCCUUCCUCCUCAAGGAACUCCUCCACUUGAAGAUUCUUGAAAUCGGACCCGUUGUCGCUCCUUAUCUUCUUCACCUUGAGCUCAAACUCAUUUUGAGCUCUCCUAAGGAAGCGCUUGAGGGUCCCUUGGGUUUCAGACUUAUCCUGCAAAAAGAACACCCAAGUGAAGCGGGAAAAGUCAUCGACAAUAACUAGACCAUACUUACUUCCCCCUAUGCUCAGAUAGGCGACGGGUCCGAAGAGGUCCAUAUGCAGCAGCUCCAGGGGUCUUGAAGUGGUCAUCACAUUCUUGCUGUGAUGCGCUCCUCCCACUUGUUUACCUGCUUGACAAGCUGCACAAGGUCUAUCUUUUUCGAAUUGUACGUUAGUCAAACCUAUCACGUGUUCUCCCUUUAGAAGCUUGUGAAGGUUCUUCAUCCCCACAUGUGCUAAGCGGCGAUGCCACAGCCAGCCCAUGCUAGUCUUAGCAAUUAAGCAUGCAUCUAGACCGGCCUCUUCUUUUGCAAAAUCAACUAAGUAAAGCUUGCCGUCUAAUACACCCUUAAAAGCUAGUGAACCAUCACUUCUUCUAAAGACAGACACAUCUACAUUUGUAAAUAGACAGUUAUAUCCCAUAUUGCAUAAUUGACUAACAGAUAACAAAUUAUAUCCAAGAGACUCUACUAAAAACACAUUAGAGAUAGAGUGCUCAUUAGAAAUUGCAAUUUUACCUAACCCUUUUACCUUGCCUUGAUUCCCAUCACCGAAUAUAAUUGAAUCUUGGGAAUCCUUAUUCUUGACGUAGGAGGUGAACAUCUUCUUCUCCCCCGUCAUAUGGUUUGUGCAUCCGCUGUCGAUAAUCCAGCUUGAACCCCCGGAUGCAUAAACCUGCAAGGCAAAUUUAGGCUUGGGACUUAGGUACCCAACUCUUGUUGGGUCCUACAAGGUUAGUCACAAUUUCCUUAGGGAUCCAAAUGCAAGUUUUAUCACCCUUGCAUUUUGCCCCUAACUUCCUAGCAAUCACCUUUCUAUCCUUUCUACAAAUUGCAAAGGAAGCAUUCAAAGCAUGAUAUAUUGUAGAAGGCUCAUUAACUUUCCUAGGCACAUUAACAACAUUUCUCCUAGGCAUAUUAUGAACAACAUUUCUCCUACCAACGUUCCUAUCAUGCUCAUAGAAAGAACUAGAAGCAACCAUGUCAUGAUAAACAUAUGAAUCAAAAACAUUAUAACUUCUAUUUGCAUUUCUAGUAUGUCUCCUAUCAUGAUACAUAAAAGCAUGGUUCUUUUUAGCACUACCAGCCAUAGGGGCCUUCCCUUUCUCCUUGGCGGAAAUGGGAGCCUUAUGGCUUGUUAAGUUCUUGGCUUCCCUCUUGAAGCCAAGUCCAUCCUUAAUUGAGGGAUGUCUACCAAUCGUAUAGGCAUCCCUUGCAAAUUUUAAUUUAUCAAAUUCGCUUUUGCUAGUCUUAAGUUGGGCAUUAAGACUAGCCACUUCAUCAUUCAAUUUAGAAAUUGAAACUAGGUGUUCACUACAAGCAUCAACAUUAAAAUCUUUACACCUAGUGCAAACCAUAACAUGUUCUACACAAGAGUUAGAUUUACUAGCCACUUCUAGUUUAGCAUUUAAAUCAUUAUUAACACCUUUUAAAGUAGCAAUGGUUUCAUGACAAGAAGAUAAUUCACUAGAAAGCACUUCAUUUCUUUUAACUUCUAAAGCAUAAGAUUUUUGUGCCUCUACAAAUUUGUCAUGCUCUUCAUAUAAAAGAUCCUCUUGUUUUUCUAAGAGUCUAUCCUUUUCAUUCAAGGCAUCAAUCAAUUCAUUAAUCUUUUCUACUUUAGUUCUAUCCAAUCCCUUGAACAAACUAGAGUAAUCUAUUUCUUCAUCACUGGACUCAUCAUCACUAGAAGAAUCAUAAGUGACAUUGUUUUGAUUGCAUACCUUCUUCUCCCUUGCCAUAAGGCAUGUGUGACGCUCGUUGGGGAAGAGGGAUGACUUGUUGAAGGCGGUGGCGGCGAGUCCUUCAUUGUCGGAGUCGGAGGAGAAGCAAUCUGAAUCCCACUCCUUUCCGAUAUGUGCCUCGCCCUUGGCCUUCUUGUAAUGCUUCUUCUUCUCCCUUUUGUUCCCCUUUUCCUGGUCACUUUCAUUAUCGGGACAGUUAGCAAUGAAAUGACCAAUCUUACCGCAUUUGAAGCACGAGCGCUUCUCCUUUGUCUUGGUCUUGCUUGGCUGUCCCUUGCGACCUUUAAGCGCCGUCUUGAAGCGCUUAAUGAUGAGGGCCAUCUCCUCAUUAUUUAGCCCGGCCGCCUCAACUUGCGCCACCUUGCUCGGUAGCGCCUCCUUGCUCCUCGUUGCCUUGAGAGCAAUGGGUUGAGGCUCAUGAAUAGGACCGUUCAACGCGUCGUCCACAUAUCUUGCCUCCUUGAUCAUCAUUCGCCCGCUUACGAACUUCCCCAGAACUUCUUCGGGCGACAUCUUGGUGUACCUAGGAUUUUCACGAAUAUUGUUCACCAAAUGAGGAUCAAGAACGGUAAAGGACCUUAGCAUUAGGCGGACGACGUCGUGAUCCGUCCAUCGCGUGCUUCCGUAGCUCCUUAUUUUGUUGAUAAGGGUCUUGAGCCGGUUGUAUGUUUGAGUUGGCUCCUCGCCCCUUAUCAUUGCGAACCGUCCAAGCUCGCCCUCCACCAACUCCAUCUUGGUGAGUAAGGUGACAUCGUUCCCCUCAUGAGAGAUCUUGAGGGUGUCCCAGAUCUGCUUGGCAUUGUCCAAGCCGCUCACCUUAUGGUACUCGUCCCUGCACAAAGAGGCUAGCAACACAGUAGUAGCUUGUGCAUUUUUAUGAAUCUGUUCAUUAAUAAACAUGGGACUAUCCGUACUAUCAAAGUGCAUUCCACUUUCUACAAUCUCCCAUAUGCUAGGAUGGAGAGAGAACAAGUGACUACGCAUUUUGUGACUCCAAAAUCCGUAGUCCUCUCCAUCAAAAUGAGGAGGUUUACUAAGUGGAAUAGAUAAUAACUGAGCAUUAGUACUUUGAGGAAUACGAGAGUAAUCAAAAGAAAAGUACGAAUUGACCGGUUUCUUUCUCUCGUAUUCGUUGUGGUCGUCGUCCUUUUGGGAGGAAGUAGACUCAUCGCUGUCGUAGUAGACGAUCUCCUUGAUGUGUCUUGUCUUCUUCUUCUUCCCAUCUUUGCGUCUGUGGCCCGAGCCCGAGUCGUUGGACUUGUCAUCCCUUGGCUCGUUGACGAAGGACUCCUUCUCCUUGUCGUUGAUCACGAUUCCCUUCCCUUUAGGAUCCAUCUCUUCGGGCGGUUAGUCCCUUUGUGAAGAGAACGGCUCUGAUACCAAUUGAGAGCACCUAGAGGGGGGGUGAAUAGGUGAUCCUGUGAAACUUGAAAACUUAAGCCACAAAACUUGGUUAAUCGUUAGCACAAUAAUUGCCAAGUGGCUAAAUAGGAAUCCUCAACAAAAUACAAUAACCAACAAAGAUCAAUCACAGAGAUGACACGGUGGUUAUCCCGUGGUUCGGCCAAGACCAACGCUUGCCUACUCCACGUUGUGGCGUCCCAACGGACGAGGGUUGCAAUCAACCCCUCUCAAGCGGUCCAAAGACCCACUUGAAUACCACGGUGUUUUGCUUUGCUUAUCUUUAUCCCACUUGCGAGGAAUCUCCACAAAUUGGAGUCUCUCGCCCUUACACUUAAAGUUCACAAAGAAGCACGGAGUAAGGGAGGGAAGCAACACACACAAAUCCACAGCAAAAUGCGCACACACACGGCCAAGAAUCGAGCUCAAAAGACUAUCUCAAAGUUCUCACUAGAACGGAGCUCGAAUCACUGAGAAUGACAAACGAAUGCGCAAAGACUGAGUGUGGAUGAUCAAGAAUGCUCUAAGGUUGCUUGGUUUUUCUCCUCCAUGCGCCUAGGGGUCCCUUUUAUAGCCCCAAGGCGGCUAGGAGCCGUUGAGAACAAAUCUGGAAGGCCAUCCUUGCCUUCUGUCGUCGGGCGCACCGGACAGUCCGGUGCACACCGGACACUGUCCGGUGCCCGAUUUCCUUCCUUAAAUGGCGAAGCCGACCGUUGCAGAUGUGGGAGCCGUUGGCGCACCGGACAUGUCCGGUGCACACCAGACAGUCCGGUGCCCCCUUCCGACCGUUGGCUCGGCCACGUGUCGCGCGCGGAUUCCGCGGCCGACCGUUGGCCCGGCCGACCGUUGGCUCACCGGACAGUCCGGUGCACACCGGACAGUCCGGUGAAUUUUAGGCGUACGUCGCCGGUGAAUUCCCGAGAGCGGCCAGUUCGCUCGAGCCAGCAUGGCGCACCGGACACUGUCCGAUGCACCACCGGACAGUCCGGUGCCCCAGACCGAAACAGCCUCUUGGCUGUACACAGCCAACUCUUCUCUUUCCUUCUUCUUUCUGUUUCUGAUACUUAGACAAGUAUAUUAGUACACAAAACCAAUGUACUAAGACUUAGAAACAUACCUUUGCUCUUGAUUUGCACUUUGUCCAUUCAUGGGCAUAGAUUUACAUUUAAGCACUUGUGUUGGCACUCAAUCACCAAAAUACUUAGAAAUGGCCCAAGGGCACAUUUCCCUUUCAUGGAUAAAUAAGUGGGGGUGAGCAAUAAAUUUCAUCCUAGAUUUAGAAGGAAUAAAUAUAUCACUAAAUACGUUUUUUUUUACAAUGGCAAGUUAAUCAGGUGGGAGCGAGAAACAAUUCUAGCGAGGCUAGGUUGUACUAGCCCAAAAUUACAUACAACAGAGGAAAAAUGAAGAAAAUGAUGGUCUACCAAAUAUGGCGCAUGAGCCUUAAGGUGCACCUAGAGGGAAGUAGAAGAAUAAAUAUAUAAUAGCAUAUGUUUUUCGCAAUGCAAGGUAAAGUGUAGAUGUGCUCUAACUGGGCUUAGAUUGCAGCGACACAUUAUGCAUCUACAAGGCUUGGUUGCACAUGGAAAAAGAUAGAGAGAGAAAUGUAGACGCAGGACCGGGAGAAAACAUUCAAUGAGACGUGAUUGCACGGACAUAGAACUAGAUAUAAGACAAGAGUUAAAGAAAAAAAGGAACUAAAUUUUCUUGUGCACACUAAGCAUGAAUGGAGUUGUAGUAUCUGAGAUCAAAAUUUAAUUUAUUCCAAGAUGCAGAACAAAAACGUGAUAUUCGUAAUGGUUACAUAGGAACAAAAGUAGAUAAGAAAAAUAGCAAAAAGAUAGUGGUCUACCAGAGAGGGCACAUGUGCCUCAAUUGGCCUAUAGCAUAGUGGCUCAUUAUCCUUCCACCGCUGGUGGCGGGCGGUACUCGCUGCUCUGUGAAGCCAGCCUCACGCAAUGUCCGCCACUUUAGGUGUUGGGAUGCAAAGGCUUUCGCCAAGGCAUCCGAAACCCACUACACAACUUGGAAUGGGUGGUCCACAAUUUGUAGCACUAGACCCAUACACAUGCACCACAAUUGAUAUCCACACUACCUUAUUGCCCCCGCUCGGGUUACAAGCAAUCGCUACU